CCUACGGGAGGCAGUAGUGAGGAAUAUUGGUCAAUGGACGAGAGUCUGAACCGGCCAAGUAGCGUGAAGGAUGACUCCCCUAUGGGUUGUACACUUCUUUUAUAACGGAAUAAAACGAGGCACGUGUGCCUUUUUGCAUGUACUUUAUGAAUAAGGAUCGGCUCACUCCGUGCCAGCAGCCGCGGUCAUACGGAGGGUCCGAGCGUUAUCCGGAGUUAUUGGGUGGAAAGGGUGCGUAGGCGGGGAGGUAAGUCAGCGGGGAACUGCCCCCGCUCAGCGGGGUGAAGUGCCAUGGAUACGGGCUUGCUGGAAGGCGGAGGCGGUGGGAGGAAUGUGUGGGGUAGCGGUGAAAUGCAGAGAGGUGACACAG
rnacentral:rRNA from 1 species